rnacentral:rRNA from 1 species
UACGUAGGGGGCAAGCGUUGUCCGGAUUUAUUGGGCGUAAAGAGCGUGUAGGCGGUUUGGUAGGUCCGCUGUGAAAACUCGAGGCUCAACCUCGAGACGCCGGUGGAAACCAUCAGACUAGAGUCCGGAAGAGGAGAGUGGAAUUCCCGGUGUAGCAGUGAAAUGCGUAGAUAUUCGCAAGAACACCAGUGGCGAAGGCGGCUCACUGGCCCGAUACUGACGCUGAGGCACGAAAGCGUGGGGAGCAAACAGG